rnacentral:rRNA from 1 species
UUUAUUGGAGAGUUUGAUCCUGGCUCAGGAUGAACGCUGGCGGCGUGCCUAAUACAUGCAAGUCGAGCGAAUGGAUUGAGAGCUUGCUCUCAAGAAGUUAGCGGCGGACGGGUGAGUAACACGUGGGUAACCUGCCCAUA